UGGAGAACGUGCGUAAGACGCAUGAAAAGAAGCCUGAGAUGCUGCCUGUCAUGCUCGUGUGACUAAAGCUUCAGUUGGAUGGCGUACAAAGACUUACCAAGAGGGAGGCGUGUGCUGAGGAUGAACAACUGCCUCAAAGGGGGUCGCAGGGAGUGCCGGAGCCUAUUGCAGCUGUCAACGGGCAGGAGGCAGUGUACACCCUGAACUGGUUGCCAGCCAAUCGCCGCGCACAUAGAGACAAAGAGUCGCACUCACAAUUACACAUAUGGGUAUUAUAGAGUGUCCAAUUAAUGUUGCAUGUUUUUGGGAUGUGGGAGGAAACCGAAGUGCCCGGGGAAAACCCACGCAGGCACAGGGAAAACAAGCAAACUCCACACAGGCGUGGCCGGGAUUGAACCCGGGUCCUCAGAACUGUGAGGCCAACGCUAUCCAGCUAACCCACCGUGCUGCCAAACUGGAAUAUCAUGCAGCAAUCUGUCGAGACAAAGCCAGCUCAGCCAAGCCCCGACACUCGAUGGGGGUGAAACCCACCAAGGCAGUGCCCUUUGUGCCAACCCCGUGCCUCCCCGCCAGCUCUGCAACCCUAGCGCUGAUGAGAGAAGCUGG